UAAGACUAUCCAAAAUUCGAAUUACCCGCAAAAUCUGAAAGUCUAGAAUAAGACUAGUCAAAUAAUCUAAUUGAAGUUUUAGAACCAAGAAUAUCUGUAAUUGGUCUGUAACAAAGACUAUGCUGGAACUGUAACUACAGACGCACAUCAGCUGAAAUGAAGUCUAAUUGAACUGAGUAAACUCUUGAACUAAUUGAUCUGAUUGAACAACAACAAGAACUCUUUUUGUGGAUUGACGACAUUUCCGAAUGAGCUGUAAUGACCUUUAUUGCUGUUUGUUUUUUGUUCCCUGUUUGAAAAAAUGUAAUCUUAUCAAAUUGGAAGAUCGAGCAUAUGACAACUAUAUUUGUAGAAAACGGAAAUUAAGUUGAUAUACCUCAUUUUAUCGCAUUAAUUACCUUGCAAAAAAUUACAAUGUGAUUGCACUUAUAAGAAUGUAUUUAAAGGGUAUUUCAGUUCAAUUUCAUCAUUAUGCUUGUAUGUAUUGUAUACAUGAAUGAGCAUUAGAUGUGAACCUGAAUUGAAACCCCCCUUUUGCAACGUAAAUUCAUGCAGAGUAUUUGAACUGAGAGUUGAUCCAGGUUAUUUUCUCGAUUUCUAAAUCCAGUACUUGCAAAUACAGCUAAUUGCUAGUCAUAAAUGGUGAGUUGCAAGGUCUGAGUGUUUGAGACUCGCGGUUAAAUUUAAUUUAACUCAGAUGCUGUAAUAAGAUACUUGGUACAAGCUCUGUACUAGAGAUGAAGUAAUCUCACGAUACAAUUUGAACUGUAAAUCUUGAAUAAAGAUUUGUUUUCCUGCAUGCGCAAUUGAUCAUGUACGUUUCAAGAUAAGUAGAAAUUGAAAUUUUGAGAUGUAGAUCUAUAUGUAUACAUAUAUUGAUAUAUUUUGAACUAUUAAUGUUGAUAAGGAACAAAUAAUCCAAGUCAUUUCUAUGAAGCUAAAAAGGGGUAAAUUAAUUAUUAAUUUAAAGGAGCCAUGUUAAUGUGAUCGUUUAUGAGAGUUAGUUUAUCUGACAAAAAGGAGUAUUCUGACUUACGUCAUGGGCUGAAAUAGCGCCAUCUACGCUUUCCUAAUUCCGACAUAGCAGUAGCAACGAAUUGGAUGUUCGCACCGAAAUCUUGUCCUAAAUUACACCUGUUAUUGAUACGAAGCCAACCCGUUUGCAACAAUAAGGAGGCAAGAAGUUUUCACGGAGCAAGUGUGAUGGAAUUAGUUGACAUAGAAUAAAUUAGCAAGUCAACCCUACUACGACUUUUCAUUGACUGUUUCUUCA
rnacentral:lncRNA from 1 species